rnacentral:rRNA from 1 species
GACGAACGCGGGCGGCGUGCCUAAUACAUGCAAGUCGAGCGAAGUUUUUCUGGUGCUUGCACUAGAAAAACUUAGCGGCGAACGGGUGAGUAACACGUAAAGAACCUGCCUCAUAGACUGGGACAACUAUUGGAAACGAUAGCUAAUACCGGAUAACAGUAUUUCUCGCAUGAGAGAUAUUUAAAAGUUGGUUAUGCUAACACUAUGAGAUGGCUUUGCGGUGCAUUAGCUAGUUGGUGGGGUAAAGGCCCACCAAGGCGACGAUGCAUAGCCGACCUGAGAGGGUGAUCGGCCACACUGGGACUGAGACACGGCCCAGACUCCUACGGGAGGCAGCAGUAGGGAAUCUUCCGCAAUGGGCGAAAGCCUGACGGAGCAACGCCGCGUGAGUGAAGAAGGAUUUCGGUUCGUAAAGCUCUGUUGUUAGGGAAGAAUGGAUAUGUAGUAACUAUACAUAUAAGAGACGGUACCUAACCAGAAAGCCACGGCUAACUACGUGCCAGCAGCCGCGGUAAUACGUAGGUGGCAAGCGUUGUCCGGAAUUAUUGGGCGUAAAGCGCGCGCAGGCGGAUUGGUCAGUCUGUCUUAAAAGUUCGGGGCUUAACCCCGUGAUGGGAUGGAAACUGCCAAUCUAGAGUAUCGGAGAGGAAAGUGGAAUUCCUAGUGUAGCGGUGAAAUGCGUAGAUAUUAGGAAGAACACCAGUGGCGAAGGCGACUUUCUGGACGAAAACUGACGCUGAGGCGCGAAAGCCAGGGGAGCGAACGGG